rnacentral:rRNA from 1 species
UGGGGAAUUUUGCGCAAUGGACGAAAGUCUGACGCAGCAACGCCGCGUGGGUGAUGAAGGUCUUCGGACUGUAAAACCCUGUCGUCAGGGACGAAGGCAUGGGAGUUAAUAGCUCUUAUGCUUGACGGUACCUGGAGAGGAAGCCCCGGCUAACUCUGUGCCAGCAGCCGCGGUAAUACAGAGGGGGCAAGCGUUAUUCGGAAUUAUUGGGCGUAAAGGGCGCGCAGGCGGUUUUUUAAGUCAGAUGUGUAAUCCCCGAGCUCAACUUGGGAACUGCAUCUGAGACUGGAAGGCUAGAGUACUGGAGAGGGUGGUGGAAUUCCUCGUGUAGCGGUGAAAUGCGUAGAGAUGAGGAGGAACACCAGUGGCGAAGGCGGCCACCUGGACAGUAACUGACGCUGAGGCGCGAAAGUGUGGGUAGCAAACAGG